CUGUCGGCAACGGAUAUCUAGGCUCUCGCAUCGAUGAAGAACGUAGCGAAAUGCGAUACUUGGUGUGAAUUGCAGAAUCCCGCGAAUCAUCGAGUUUUUGAACGCAAGUUGCGCCCGAAGCCAUUCGGCCGAGGGCACGUCUGCCUGGGUGUCACGCAUCGUUGCC
rnacentral:rRNA from 1 species